rnacentral:ribozyme from 1 species
UCCCCCCGACGGGACCCACCUUGCCGUGGUGGGGGUGCUCACGGGCAACGCCCAUGCCAAGAGGUUC